rnacentral:misc_RNA from 2 species
AACGCACCUUGCGCUCCUUGGUAUUCCGAGGAGCAUGCCUGUUUGAGUGUCUUGAAGUCAUCAACCCCCUCCGUUUCGUGCGGUUCGGGUUGGAGCUGGGGGCUCUGCCGCCGUGAGGCGGCUCCCCUCAAAUGCAUCGGUUGGGCCUGUGGGUCGAACUCGACUGGGCGUUGUACCAUCCUCGCUCGACAGAGACGUUCCCCUCUUGUGCCCUUCCCCGACCGCCUCUCAAGGGUGGUGGUCAACUUUUUGAAAUCUGACCUCAAAUCAGGUAGGACUACCCGCUGAACUUAA